GACGAACGCUGGCGGCGUGCUUAACACAUGCAAGUCGAACGGAAAGGCCCUGCUUUUGUGGGGUGCUCGAGUGGCGAACGGGUGAGUAACACGUGAGUAACCUGCCCUUGACUUUGGGAUAACUUCAGGAAACUGGGGCUACUACCGGAUCGGAGCUCCUGCUGCAUUGUGGGGGUUGGAAAGUUUCGGCGGGUGGGGAUGGACUCGCGGCUUAUCAGUUUGUUGGUGGGGUAGUGGCUUACCAAGGCUUUGACGGGUAGCCGGCCUGAGAGGGUGACCGGCCACAUUGGGACUGAGAUACGGCCCAGACUCCUACGGGAGGCAGCAGUGGGGAAUAUUGCACAAUGGGCGGAAGCCUGAUGCAGCAACGCCGCGUGCGGGAUGACGGCCUUCGGGUUGUAAACCGCUUUCGCCUGUGACGAAGCGUGAGUGACGGUAAUGGGUAAAGAAGCACCGGCUAACUACGUG
rnacentral:rRNA from 1 species